rnacentral:rRNA from 1 species
CCUACGGGUGGCAGCAGUGAGGAAUAUUGGUCAAUGGGAGGAAUCCUGAACCAGCCAUGCCGCGUGCAGGACGACGGCUCUACGGGUUGUAAACCUCUUUUGCCGGGGAGCAAGCCUGAGCACGUGUGCCCAGGCGGAGAGUACCCGGAGAAAAAGCAUCGGCUAACUCCGUGCUAGCAGCCGCGGUAAUACGGAGGAUGCGAGCGUUAUCCGGAUUUAUUGGGUUUAAAGGGUGCGCAGGCGGGCUGUUAAGCCGGCGGUAAAAAUUCAGGGCUCAACCCUGUCGAGCCGUCGGAACUGGCAGCCUUGAGUGGGCGAGAAGUAUGCGGAAUGCGUGGUGUAGCGGUGAAAUGCAUAGAUAUCACGCAGAACGCCGAUUGCGAAGGCAGCAUACCGGCGCCCGACUGACGCUGAGGCACGAAAGCGUGGGGAUCGAACAGGAUUAGAUACCCUAGUAGUC